UACGAAGGGGGCUAGCGUUGCUCGGAAUCACUGGGCGUAAAGGGUGCGUAGGCGGACUCUUAAGUCAGGGGUGAAAGCCUGAGGCUCAACCUCAGAACUGCCUUUGAUACUGAGAGUCUCGAGACCGGAAGAGGUAAGUGGAACUGCGAGUGUAGAGGUGAAAUUCGUAGAUAUUCGCAAGAACACCAGUGGCGAAGGCGGCUUACUGGUCCGGUUCUGACGCUGAGGCACGAAAGCGUGGGGAGCAAACAGG
rnacentral:rRNA from 1 species